rfam:Myotis davidii contig98624, whole genome shotgun sequence.
CUUGGGGUGGGGGGGGCCGUCCCUCAGUCCAGAUUGCAAGAGGGCAUAGUCCAGGCCGAGGGACCCCACCGGUGCAUG